GGGGCAGGAGAGCGGAGUCACGUGUAGCUGCUGAUUCCAGACAAUACUGCCUUUAAAACUGCACCAGACUAUUUAGCUCACAUCUCGAUAGCCCUUAGUCAAGUCCCCCAACAUCGGUGAAAGGAGAACAAGGAGGCUGCUCAAAGAGCUGCCCGAUGAGUCUGAAGCUCCGGCAGCAGACUAGGUGAGUCACACUGGGACUUCCCCGUUGCCCGUCCCUUCGCGCUCCUUCCCGGGAAAUCCAUUCCGGUGCCUGGAACUAAGUACCCUGGAGAGAGCUGAGCACGGAAACCCCCUGGAGACCCCCAAACAACCGCGGGAUGCCCUGGACCGAUCCCCAAACACGACCUACAGAGCUCCGAGCAGAAUCAAACGUCACCAGCCUGCGAAGAAAACAUGAGGCAGACACUUCACUUACCUUGUUUACGAGUCGGAGGGAGAAGGAAAGCUGCAAAACCGAGAGCUUCCAGGUGACUCUUGUCCACAUCUCUCCCAGGAAUCAUCCGCAAAGGGAUUUACCCAGAAUGCUGAGUGCCUUCCUCCAGGUCUCUUAGUAUCACUCAGGGAGAAGCUGAGGAAUCAAUACAAGAACUGGGCAGUUUUGCAAAGACAACCUGGCCCAUUCUUCUCGUCCUAUUCAAUUCUGUGUCUAACUCACCAUGGAGUUGUAUUCCUGUCCAAUCUAAUCCAAUGCAACAAACAGAUAUGAAUUACUGGAUAAAGACAGAACUCCGUGCUGGGCACUGGUGAGACAAACGCUCAACAAAAACCAAACCCCUGCUUUGCUGGAUCUUUAUGUGUGUGUGUGUGUGUGUAUGUAUUCAAAUGAUCCAGUUCAAUGUGGCAUAUAUCAUAGGCUGAAUUCUUCUCUUGGUGGUUUUUUUCCCCAUGCGGAUCAUUAUGCCAAACCCUUUUGAAUUACUGUGAAUCCCAUACAAGAGGCUGAAAAAUGUUGUAAGGUUUGAUGCAAACCACACAUCUGGAACACCUCACUGUGGAUAGCAGUCCUUCUUAAGCUGGGACCCAUUCAUACUUCUAGAAAUGCCUGUACAGUAUUGUUUGCAGAGGUUUACACAUUCUCUUCAUAUAUUUUCCUUAAGGAUACCUUUGACACAUAUGUAAAUUAUUCUCAUAAAGAUUUUAUAGAGACAACAAAGUAAGCAUAUGGGCUGGUAGUGAUUAAUGUCCUCUUGGCAGCCUUUUUUGGUCAUGAUUCAGUAGGGUUUUCCCCCUAAAAUGUUUGGCAUCUUCCCCUCUUUCCCAUAACUUGAGAAUGGAUAUAGUUGCUUGUCCCAUCUUUCUUUUCUUCCAUGUAAUUUCUGCUUUUCAGGAAGCACGUUGGGAGGCCAUGACAUUGGGGCCCAAUUGGAUCCUGUCACUCCUAUCACUGAUGGAGAAACUGGUAUAUUCCAUGACAUCCACAUCUGUUUUGUUGGUCAUCUGUUUGCUGUCCUCUUUUCAGCUUCAUCUUUAAAUGUUCUUGAGAUGACCAGGCUUCAUUGAGUCUCAUAUCCAGUUUUCUGCAAAUUCAGUUUUUCCCCCUCCAUUUCUUCUCUUUCCCUCUAUUUCAUGAGGUGAUGCUGCUCAAGACAUUCUAUCAUUGUCCUCUGGAAGAAUUACUGAUCUUUGCCCACACAGCAGCUAAAAUCACCUUAUGAGGUUACUGCUCAAUUGAAAACCUUCAAUGGCUACCUAUUAUUGCCUCAAGAUAAAAUGCAAAGCUAUGUGUUCGUUGUGAGGAUCAAAUGAGAUAAUAUUUGUAAAGAGCUUACCACAGUAACUGGCACAGGUGCUAUAUAGACACUAGCUAAUAUUAUUAUUAACCUGUCAGACAAAUGUAAUGGGGUUUCCACAAUGGAGCAUACCCAGAGCUGCCUUGCCUACUUUUGUAGUCAUGGAUGCUGGUUGAGCACCGAAGACUUUGGAAUGACAAGUCAAUCUCCUCAUUGGCUGAAGGAAGGGCUGCUGGAUUGCUGGAUUAUGGAGUUGUAUCUGAUUCUUCAUGACGCUGUGGACCAUACGAUAUAUCCAAUGGGUUUUCUUGGCAAAGAUACUAGAGUGGUUUGCCAUUUCCUUCUCCAGUGGAUUAAGGCAAA